GUGUGCGCAAAAAAUGUCUUCUGUGCAAAGUUUUGUGCUUCUGUGCAAAUUUUUAUGUGUGUGCAGUGUUUCGCUGUGUGCGCGGGGUUUAGGAUCUGUGUGCGCGUGCGCACACGCAUACAGCUUAGUGGGAACAGUGGUCGCGAGGUUAUUGCAUGGGGGGUUGCAAGCUAUCAGUCUCCACCCCAAACCCCACUUUGCCCUCAGCAUUUAUAAUGGUGUUAAAUAUAUAAACAAGUGUUUUUAAUUUAUAAGGAGGGGUCGCAUUCAGAGGCUUGCUAUGUGAAAGGGGUCACCAUUACAAAACUUUGAGAACCACUGAUUUAGCUCCAUCUCUCAGCAGGGUGGUGGACAGGCAGGCAGGGAGGGGCUUCUUCCUCAACCAAACAAGAUUAGCUCCAAGAACCUAGCAUUGUACAACCCAGGAAAAGACAAAUGAUGGACCAUUACAGAAUGAGAAGACAAGACAUUGAGAUAUACUGGCUAUCAAGUCAAGAGGGAAUUUCUCCUGUUCUGAAUAACUAUGAAAUAUCAUAGUCUGAGAGAGAGAGAAAAAAAUGACAAAUUCUUUAAAAAGAGAUGGGGUUUGAAGUGAAAUCUAUUCAGAAACUGAGGGACAGUAUCUAGGCGGGAAGCUCUCUAUGAAAUGCAGGAUUCCCCACUACAGUUAGGGGGUAGUCUGGGAAACUGUUCAAAGGCAAUAGGUAACUUGUGUUAGAAAAGGGAUUUUUAUCUAAUUUGAAAGUUUAAAGCCUGAGAUUGUAUCUUAUGUUUAUUUUCUGUGUAACUUGUAUGUGUUUGCAUUCCCUUACUAUUUCAUCUUUGAAUCAGUGUUUGUCUAUUAAAUAAAUUUUUAGUUUAUUUUUAUGCCAAGUAGGUCUCUGUAGUGCACACUGUGUGGAGCAUGAGUGGCAAAGCAGAUUGAUGUUUGCAGGACUAGUUUUAUGCCUUUGAGGGUGACAAACCAGAUGAGGAAAAUCCAAGUAUCUAGUAGUUAAGAACUCAGGGUGGAUGGAUUUGGGGAGACUUGAGACCACAAGAGAUGUUGGUGUCACCCUUCAAAGUGUAAAUAGGCUAGUGGAAGCCAGGAUGAGACCUUGUGCUUGUGGGCAGGCUACUGGUGUCAGGGCUCUGAGCCAUAGCAGCUCAGCAUUAAGGCACCCCAGGUUACAGGCAGGCAGCAACAGAACUGUUUAUUGGUCUGAGUGAUCCCCAAAACAUCACACCUAGAGAACGGCCAAAAUUUCAAGGAAAAUCUUGCAAAGAGAACAUUUAAUAGGCACGAGAUCAAGAGAUAGAUAGAGGGGUACAAGAAAAUCCUGAAAAAGAACCUCACUCAUUAUAACAUAGGCUCAAAUGUUUUUCUCCCACAGAAAAACCUGUGAGAGGAGUUCUGAAGGUCCUUGUCGAGAUCACCCACAUCAUCCCAUGGGUUCCGCCCAUGCAUACACAAAAGGUUAAGAGACUUGCCUCCAAACUGGACAGAUCCCAGGAUCAUGUAGGAGGCCAAAGUUAUCUCGUGCAAAGCCCCUGUGCCUUCAUAUUGGCUCUGACUCUCAAUGACCCUGGUUCCCUAGUAGUAUGGCUAGCAGGGUGUUCCUUUGGUCACAGUAACCACUGAACACAGAGGAAAAAGGCCCUGUGAAAAAGAUAACAAAGUCUGGGAAUAUAUGAUCAUUGUUCCUAAUUUUUCUGGGUCUUGAGAGAAAACAAUAGGCUUGAUGUAAAAUAAUUGAAGUCUCUGAAAAGAUUCAUUGACUUCAAUAGGUUUUGGAUCGUGCCACUGUUCAGACUCCCCUAGCCUGCCCACGUCUCUCCCUGUCUCCAUCCUGACCACAGUCUAAGCCCCAGAUCAUGCAAAAUGGUUUCCACAAAGUCUACUUGGCGUCACAGGAGUACCUGAGUCCCAUUUUCCUGUGAAAUGGAAAAGACUUGUGUGCAGACCUAGGCAGCAUGAUCCAAUGGCUGUAGUACAGCAACAAGCAAAAUAACUUGGCAAGCAAAAGCAGCUGAUGCAGAAAGUUUUGAAGAGACACAUAUUACUCAACAUCAACAACUAAAGCAAAAGUUGCUCCCAAGGGCCACAAUCAAGAUUCAGGGCCCCAUGUGCCAGGCAUUGUACAAACAACAGAACAAAGACACGGAAUCCCUGCCCUGAACAUCUUUAUCUAACCACUCAAUCCUGCUCCCAUUAGAGUCAAGAGUUUUGCUAUUGACUUCAGAGUCGGAGGAUUCCCAUACUUGGCCAGUGUGAACAUAUGCAAAUUGUCUGGUCCAGAUCAUAUUAUUGUUAAGGUAUUUAGGGAGCUAACUAACAAGCUUACUGUCCUACUGACAAUUAUUUUUGAAAAAUCAAACAGGUGAAAGACUAGA